GUGUGUGUAAUUUAAAAAAAAUGUCGGGCCGUGACCUCGAAAAUAGAAACCCAUCUCGCACACC
rnacentral:tRNA from 1 species